UACGUAGGGUGCAAGCGUUGUCCGGAAUUAUUGGGCGUAAAGAGCUCGUAGGCGGUGUGUCGCGUCGGCUGUGAAAACCUGGGGCUCAACCCUGGGCUUGCAGCUGAUACGGGCAGACUGGAGUUCGGCAGGGGAGACUGGAAUUCCUGGUGUAGCGGUGAAAUGCGCAGAUAUCAGGAGGAAAACCGGUGGCGAAGGCGGGUCUCUGGGCCGAUACUGACGCUGAGGAGCGAAAGCGUGGGGAGCGAACAGG
rnacentral:rRNA from 1 species